AGAGAGAGACAUGCGCGCAUAUCAAUAAGCGGAGGAAAAGAAACUAACUAGGAUUCCCUCAGUAACGGCGAGUGAAGCGGGAAGAGCUCAAAUUUGAAAUCUUCAAGGUUCUACCUUGACGAAUUGUAGUUUAAAGAAGUGUUUUCUGUUGGAGUUUUGGUAAAAGUUCUUUGGAAUAGGACAUCAUAGAGGGUGAGAAUCCCGUAUUUGACCAUUAUUUUCAGCUGUGUGAUACACUUUCAAAGAGUCGGAUUGUUUGGGAAUGCAGUCCAAAAUGGGUGGUAAAUUUCAUCUAAAGCUAAAUAUUGGCGAGAGACCGAUAGCGAACAAGUACCGUGAGGGAAAGAUGAAAAGAACUUUGAAAAGAGAGUUAAACAGUACGUGAAAUUGUCAAAAGGGAAGCGUUUGACACCAGUGUUGUUUUCUGAAAAUCAAUUAAAAAGCAGGAUUUUGCUAGCUGUAUUAGACUUUAUCAGCUAUCUGCAUUAUUUUCGAUCUUUUCUUUAAUGCACUUUUCAGUUUAACAAGUCAACAUCAAUUUCUUUUGUUGUAAAAGGGUCAUUGGAAGGUGGCUUUCUUUUCGGAGAAAGUGUUUAUAGCCUUUGGCCUCUGCAAUCGGAGAGAUUGAGGUCUGCAGCGUAGAUCCUUCGGGGUUAGAUACAUUUGUGCUAAGUUAUAGCCUUUCAUAGACAACUUGUUGACUAUGAUCAGUCAUGUAGCUUACUCGCUUAUGCUAUUUUACCUACGCUUAGGAUGUUGAUGUGAUACUGCGAGCA
rnacentral:rRNA from 1 species